rnacentral:rRNA from 1 species
AUACGAAGGGUGCAAGCGUUACUCGGAAUUACUGGGCGUAAAGCGUGCGUAGGUGGUUUGUUAAGUCUGAUGUGAAAACCCUGGGCUUAACCUGGGACGUGCAGUUUUGACUGCUUUUCUUGAAUGUCUGAGAGGUUAGUGGAAUUACAGGUGUAGGAGUGAAAUCCGUAGAUAUCUGUAGGAACACCGGAGGCGAAGGCGGCUAACUGGUGGAGCAUUGACGCUGAGGCGCGAAAGCGCGGGUAGCA